UCACACUAGAUUUGAGGCUCCACCCACCGCAGAGAAGCUCCGCCCCUGCCCCUGGGGAGGGCGCUCCCUGGGUCUUGAAGCCGGGUUUCCUGCGUGGGACCGCCCCCGAGCUACUCAUGGCCCCGCAGAGGCAACCACACAAGAUAGCAGGGUCUCUGGGAACUGGGCUUUGAUUCCUGCCGUGGUGGAAGCCUCUCGAGGGAGCAUAACUUGACUUGAUUUACGUUUUAAAAUUAACAACCUCUCUAGCUGCCCUGUGAAGGCGGGGGGGGGGGGGGGGCUGUUAGCUGAAGGGGCGGCAAGAAGACAAGCCAGGACAGUACGGAGAGCCGGAGACGACCGGGUGGGGGUCGCCCAUCACAGUGAAUCCACAUGAGCUGGCACAUACUAAAAGAUUUCUCCAAGAUAAUCAUGAAGAAGUGAAAUGACUGGAUCAAAAAGACAACAUAGGAACCAGCAUUGUGGUGUAGUGGGCUAAGCCUCCUGCAGCGCCAGCAUCCCAAAGGGGCGAUGGUUUGAGUCCCGACUGCUCCACUUCUAAUCCAGCUCCCUGUUACUGCACCUGGAAUAACAGAAGAUGGCCCGAGUCCUUGGGCCCCUGCACCCACGUGGGAGACCCAGAAGAAACUCCUGGCUCCUGGCUUCAGAUCAGCGCAGCUCCAGCCAUUGUGGCCAAUUGGGGAUGGAAGGCCUCUCUCUCUGUCUCUCCCUCUCUCUGUCUGUAACUUUACCUCUCAAAUAAAUAAAUAAAUCUUUUUUAAAAAGACAACAUAUUUUGAAAUUUUAAUACACAAUGCUUAGUUGUCAUGUAGAAAAAUUAUUACAGUUUACACACCUCUGCCCCAGCGGUGAAUAACUACUUCCCUAAAUGCUUACCUACACUGGAUAGUAACCAUUUUAAUAUUUUGACAAUGUAAUGGUUGAAAGAAAUGCCUCAUUAUUUGCAUUUCCCUAAUUAUUAGCAAGGCUAAUAAAUAUUUUCUUAUGUUUGU